UCAAGACAAACAGCAAAUCCGCCACCGACAAGUGCAGCCUGUAUUUGUCCGUCAUGGUGCGCACUCUUCCAUGGUAGCCCAUGAUGACCACCACCAGGCCAUUGCCCACCACCCCCAGCACAAACACCAGUGAGUAGACACACGCUCAAUCAUUUCUUCAUCAUUUUUGGGUUUAAGAUAUUUGAAGCACAUCAGCAUCCUCAAGAAAGCCCCAACGAGUUCUCAAGAUAAUUAAGGAUGGGCCAUGAAUAUGGCCACACUAGCAACACUCACAUAGAACAGUACAGUGCAGGAACAGGCCCUUCAGACCAACCAUGUCUGUGCUAACCAUGAUGCCAUUCCACAUCCCAAGAGCCAAUAAAAUCCAGACAAAUUUGCUGCAGCCAGGGGUCUAACCAUGCCUGCUGACUUCACUUCACAUGUUUAGAUUUCCACAUUUCUUUUCAGGGCUGCACCAAGUUGCUGAAACUGCAAUGUAAUUCCAGGACAAGAAGAACCACAUUUUGCGUCCUGUCCAAUCAGAUUGUGGGAUUGUGAUAUUACAAAUACAAGUGUUGCAAGGAAGCAUAGAGUUGUUAGUUCAAUACAAAUCAGGUACAAAAAGAAGAAUGAAGAGGGGGAAAGUGGUUGGACGAAUAAAGAGGUUAAUUGAAAGAGGAAAAACAAGACAAGAAAUAAAAUUGAAUCAGAGAUAGUAGGAACUGCAGAUGCUGGCGAAUCUGAGAUAACAAGGUGUAGAGCUGGAUGAACACAGCAGGCCAAGCAGCAUCAUAGGAGCAGAAAGGCUGACGUUUCGGGCCUAGAUUGCUUCAAGAAGCUACAGGCCUCAACCAAUGCUAAACAAGAAUGAUGGAGAUAGUAGGAACUGCAGAUGCUGGAGAAUCUGAGACAACAAGGUGCAGAACUGGAUGAACACAGCAGGCCAAGCAGCAUCAUAGGAGCAGAAAGGCUGACGUUUUGGGCUUUGUGAAGUUCCUCUAAAGUAUUAAAACAGCCAAGAUUAUUAUUAUAGUUUUGAAAAACUUAAAAAAAGAAAUCAACUAAGAUGUAGGACAUCUGACUCUGAAAGGUUGAAAAGUAAUCUUUCCAGAACUUCUCUAACUUUAAAGCACGAGUCGUGACAUGACAUGAGAAACUUUCUUUCCUCUUUCAGAUGCUGUGGUAUUCUGGUUUGCCCUUUACAGGAUUGCAACAUUGAAGCCUUUUUAUUUUAUGUCCUUGUCAAACACAGGGAUGUAAUAUCAAGAUUAGAAACAACAUAAAUAAAAUGUGAAGUUACAAAAUAUAUUUUACACAGAAGGUUAUUUGAAUCUAGAUCAGUAUGUAGCACAAGUAAUUACUGAUACAGAGGUUUUAACAUAAUGAAUUAGUAAGCAUUUGAAAAUGAAAAGAAUAAAAAUUAUACAAGAAAUAGAA